UACGUAGGGUGCGAGCGUUGUCCGGAAUUAUUGGGCGUAAAGGGCUCGUAGGCGGUUUGUCGCGUCGGGAGUGAAAACACCGGGCUUAACUCGGUGCUUGCUUCCGAUACGGGCAGACUAGAGGUAUGCAGGGGAGAACGGAAUUCCUGGUGUAGCGGUGAAAUGCGCAGAUAUCAGGAGGAACACCGGUGGCGAAGGCGGGUCUCUGGGCCGAUACUGACGCUGAGGAGCGAAAGCGUGGGGAGCGAACAGG
rnacentral:rRNA from 1 species